GCCCCCGUGGUGGAGUGGUUACCACUUAACUCUUAUAAUGUUAAGGUCGCCAGUUCGAUCCUGGCCGGGGGCA
rnacentral:tRNA from 4 species